AGUGCUGGGAAACAGUGCUAUGAAGGAUACAGUGGCUAGAAGUCAUCCUGUCGUCCUGCCUCACAGUAACAUCGUUACCAAAUUCUCAGCAGGUGAACCAAAUGAAAUGGUCAACUGAAAGCCAACCAGGAAGGCAUCUGGCUGUUUUGGGGAAAACUAUUGCCGACCUUAUUUUGACUAAAAAGUUGCCUGCCGUACCAGCAAAAAAUCACCAUGUACCAACCUAUUCAAACUUAUCCAUGGAUGAAUCUAUCCAGAAGACAGGAGUUCCGAUGCUUGUCUUGCUCUGAAUGUCUGCUUGUCACCUGCUUAGCAUUAUCGACUGUGAUUCUGGGACUCGUUGUUGUUCUACAGGACCCCUCUGACUCUGUGGUUUUCUCUAUUGGAUUAACAAUGAUAGCCAUAGGUGCUUUUUUUGUUGUCCUCACUGGAGUGACAGCCCUGUGUACGGUUACAGUCGACGAGAACUUGCGGAAAACCACGAGGCUAAGACUAGGAGUGAUACGAAAAAGCGGAAGUCUCCAAGGAACUACAGAGCCUUCCAUGACUCACUCAGUCAUCGCCAGCACCUCGCUGUAGCUGUACAUUGAACCCUGGCAUCUUCUUCUUUGGAACUAAGUCUCCUGAGCAUUGUUUUUAAAUAGAAAUAAAAUCUGGCUUUUAAAAAAAC
rnacentral:lncRNA from 1 species